rnacentral:rRNA from 1 species
GACGAACGCUGGCGGCGUGCCUAAUACAUGCAAGUAGAACGCUGAAGGAGGAGCUUGCUUCUCUGGAUGAGUUGCGAACGGGUGAGUAACGCGUAGGUAACCUGCCUGGUAGCGGGGGAUAACUAUUGGAAACGAUAGCUAAUACCGCAUAAUAGCAGUUAUUGCAUGAUAACUGUUUGAAAGGUGCAAUUGCACCACUACCAGAUGGACCUGCGUUGUAUUAGCUAGUUGGUGGGGUAACGGCUCACCAAGGCGACGAUACAUAGCCGACCUGAGAGGGGGGACGGCCACACUGGGAACGGGACCACGCCCCAGCUCCCUCGGGGAGCAGCAAUAGGGGAUCUUCGGCAAUGGGCGGAAGUCUGACCGAGCAACGCCGCGGGAGUGAAGAAGGUUUUCGGAUCGUAAAGCUCUGUUGUAAGGGAAGAACGAGUGUGAGAUUGGAAAGUUCACACUGUGACGGUAUCUUACCAGAAAGGGACGGCUAACUACGUG